GUUUUGUCUCCAUGCCUUGUUGCCCCUGUUGUCUGCAUAUCUGCUCACCACACCCUGCUUAUUCCUGUGGCUGAGCACAAGAAAGCAAGACUUCAGCAUCUUCUCGAUGUGUAUAUUACAUUGCCAAUGCAGUAAGGAUGUCUCUAUUUAACUGGGGAAAAUUUUAAAAAA